UUUCAGUUUGAUGUAGUCCCACUUGUUUAUUUUUGCUUUUAUUGCCUUUGCUUUUGGUGUCGAAUCCAAAAAAUCAUAGCCAAGGCCAAUGUCAAGGACCUUUCCCCU